GGGAUAGGAUGAGUGGUUGGACCUCGCGAUCUUAAAGAUGCGAGAUGGGUGUCCGCCCCAAAGCCUGGUUACGACAACCUGGGCACCCUCCUUAUAGCCAAUCUGAUCCU